AGGUGAAUUUGAGCCCUUUCAGCACUCAGGAGGAGGCCUUGUUUCCAGGAAAUUUAAUUGCCAUGAAAAGACUUUUGAAAAAAACAGCAGUGAGAUCCAGUGCAACACUGCGUUCUGAAUGCCUCAGAGGAGUUGAUGGUUGAAUCUCAAAUGACCUGUGGGACAAAGAUUUUCUCGUGUGUUUUUUAGGAGCUGCACUUUUUUUCCUCCGGAAAGGCACUGGACUGACUAGGAAUGCU